UACGUAGGUGGCAAGCGUUGUCCGGAUUUACUGGGCGUAAAGGGAGCGUAGGCGGAUACUUAAGUGGGAUGUGAAAUACCUGGGCUUAACUUGGGUGCUGCAUUCCACACUGGGUGUCUAGAGUGUUGGAGAGGAAAGUGGAAUUCCUAGUGUAGCGGUGAAAUGCGUAGAGAUUAGGAAGAACACCAGUGGCGAAGGCGACUUUCUGGACAAUAACUGACGCUGAGGCUCGAAAGCGUGGGGAGCAAACAGGAUUAGAUACCCUGGUAGUCCACGCCGUAAACGAUGGGUAAUAGGUGUAGGAGGUAUAGACUACUCAUGUGCCGCCGUUAACACAAUAAGUACCCCGCCUGGGGAGUACGGUCGCAAGAUUAAA
rnacentral:rRNA from 1 species